AAGUCGUAACAAGGUUUCCGUAGGUGAACCUGCGGAAGGAUCAUUAAUGAAUUUUGAAGGGGUUGUAGCUGGCUCGCAAGGGCAUGUGCACACCCCGUUCAAUCCAUCUUACCCCUGUGCACCACAAUGUAGGGAUGGCGGGACCGUGAGGUCUUCCGUCUCUAUGUCAUUUACGAACUCGAUAGUAUCAGAAUGUAAACGCGUGUAACGCAUCUUAUACAACUUUCAGCAACGGAUCUCUUGGCUCUC
rnacentral:misc_RNA from 1 species